rnacentral:snRNA from 1 species
UUAUCUUAAUAAAAUUUUUUAAUCUGUUCUUAUCAGUUUAAUAUCUGAUACGUCCUCUAUCUGAGGACUAUAUAUUAAAUGGAUUUUUGGAACAGGGA